UACGUAGGGGGCAAGCGUUAUCCGGAUUUACUGGGUAUAAAGGGAGCGUAGACGGCUUUGCAAGCCAGAUGUGAAAGCCCGGGGCUCAACCUCGGGACUGCAUUUGGAACUGUAUGGCUGGAUUGUCGGAGAGGCAGGCGGAAUUCCUAGUGUAGCGGUGAAAUGCGUAGAUAUUAGGAGGAACACCAGUGGCGAAGGCGGCCUGCUGGACGAUGACUGACGUUGAGGCUCGAAAGCGUGGGGAGCAAACAGG
rnacentral:rRNA from 1 species